UUCCCCUUCCGGCAGUUCUAGAAUUGUUUGGUGGAAUUUCGCUUCCGCCGGUGAUUCCACGGAUUGAAAGUGGUUCCCCCCCCACCCAAGCCACGACACGAUAAGUUUUGUGUGACAAUCAGAAGAAAAAAACUGUUUGUUUGAAAUUUCCCCGGAGUCAUCGGUUGAACCCGUUUCAUCAAUUUCAGCAAGGCUGGUAGCACAGAUCAACAUUUUCGUGCACGGGCAGAAGGUGGCCAAUCGAUGAACCUCACGCCACCACCGGGCUUCAUGACCGCAAGGGAACAACCGCCAGAGCAGCGAUCCGAAAUCCAGCAGCAUCCAAAGUAGCUCAGCAGCAGCCCGUGAAGUGAAGAAAU
rnacentral:lncRNA from 1 species